UCUAUCUCCUCUAACAUGAUUUUCUCAAGUAUGUUACUUAAAUGAAAUAAAUAGCAACACACUUUCUUUAUAUUUUUAUUAUAGCAAAAUCUACCCAUUUUCUUUGCAUUACAGGAUCUUCAACUUGGAUUCUGUUUUUUUUAUGCUUAAAGGAUAUUACUGAUUUGAACAUUACACAAGUGAUUUGGGGAACUUCUAAAACCCACUGUGACAAAUUGACUUGACUGAUACUCACUAUUUCUUAUCAAGCUUUCAUAUUUUCUUCAUUCAUUUCGACAAUAUAAUGCCAUGUUUAUUCUUUCCAUUGUAGUGCUCUGCUUGAUUGUAGAACUUUAUAUAGUGGAUGCCAAUGAAAUACCACUCCAGAGCAUUUGACUUCUUGAUGGAUGUUACAGCGCUUUACACAUCGGGUAUUAAAAGACGAUCGGAAAAAAGAAUGGCAGGGUUUGAUUAUCUUGAGGGGUGAAUCAUAAAGAGGUUUCAAAUAGAUUUGUAAAUUAGAUGAUGAAUCAUGCUUAUCUGUUGGUGAAAAUUUAUGCAAGUGGCUGCAGGUGGAGGUAGAGGUGUUGCACUGAGAUGAUGUACAAAUCAGAUUAGGAAGGUAGAUCCGACUUUCGACAUGGAAGCUGAUGAAGGCGAUAAUUACACACAUAUUCCAGUAAGAAACAAUAGAGUUUGAUGAUUAUUUGUUAGUUUUAUAGGAAUGUAACCCAUGUUAGCAAUGUAUUAUUUUUGUUUAACAUUUGUAUGAUUAUUUGUAUGACAUAUUAUAAUUUGUGCAAUUUAUUUUAU